UGUUAAUAAUUUAUAUAAAAUAUUUUGAUGAAUAUUUAUAUAAUAUUAACAUAAUUCAUAUUACUAUUUUUUUUUUAGUAUAUGAAAUUUUACUUUGAGAAAAUUAGAGUGCUUAAAGCAGGCAUAUGCCUUGAAUACUCCAGCAUGGAAUAAUAUUAAAGAUUUUUAUCUUUUUUAUUGGUUCUAAGAUAAGAAUAAUGAUUAAUAGGGACAGUUGGGGGCAUUUGUAUUUAACAGUCAGAGGUGAAAUUCUUAGAUUUGUUAAAGACAAACUAAUGCGAAAGCAUUUGCCAAGGAUGUUUUCAUUAAUCAAGAACGAAAGUUAGGGGAUCGAAGACGAUCAGAUACCGUCGUAGUCUUAACCAUAAACUAUGCCAACUAGAGAUUGGAGGUUGUU
rnacentral:rRNA from 1 species